rnacentral:rRNA from 2 species
CAACAGGGAUUGCCUCAGUAGCGGCGAGUGAAGCGGCAAAAGCUCAAAUUUGAAAUCUGGCGUCUUUGGCGUCCGAGUUGUAAUUUGAAGAAGGUAUCUUUGGGCCCGGCUCUUGUCUAUGUUCCUUGGAACAGGACGUCACAGAGGGUGAGAAUCCCGUGCGAUGAGAUGACCCGGGUCUGUGUAAAGUUCCUUCGACGAGUCGAGUUGUUUGGGAAUGCAGCUCUAAGUGGGUGGUAAAUUCCAUCUAAAGCUAAAUAUUGGCGAGAGACCGAUAGCGAACAAGUACAGUGAUGGAAAGAUGAAAAGAACUUUGAAAAGAGAGUGAAAAAGUACGUGAAAUUGUUGAAAGGGAAGGGCUUGAGAUCAGACUUGGUAUUUUGCAUGUUGCUCUCUCGGGGGCGGCCGCUGCGGUUUACCGGGCCAGCAUCGGUUUGGAGCGGCAGGAUAAUGGCGGAGGAAUGUGGCACGGCUUCUGCUGUGUGUUAUAGCCUCUGACGAUACUGCCAGCCUAGACCGAGGACUGCGG